AUUUUAAUAAUUAAACUCUUUAAAGUUUUUACAUUGAAGAUGUAAAUUUAAUUGGAGUA
rnacentral:tRNA from 1 species